AUUGAACGCUGGCGGCAGGCCUAACACAUGCAAGUCGAGCGGAAACGAAGAGGUGCUUGCACCUCUGGCGUCGAGCGGCGGACGGGUGAGUAAUGCUUGGGAAUAUGCCUUAUGGUGGGGGACAACAGUUGGAAACGACUGCUAAUACCGCAUGAUGUCUACGGACCAAAGUGGGGGACCUUCAGGCCUCACGCCAUAAGAUUAGCCCAAGUGGGAUUAGCUAGUUGGUGAGGUAAUGGCUCACCAAGGCGACGAUCCCUAGCUGGUUUGAGAGGAUGAUCAGCCACACUGGGACUGAGACACGGCCCAGACUCCUACGGGAGGCAGCAGUGGGGAAUAUUGCACAAUGGGCGCAAGCCUGAUGCAGCCAUGCCGCGUGUGUGAAGAAGGCCUUCGGGUUGUAAAGCACUUUCAGUAAGGAGGAAAGGUUAAGUGUUAAUAGCACUUAGCUGUGACGUUACUUACAGAAGAAGCACCGGCUAACUCCGUGC
rnacentral:rRNA from 1 species